ACAUUCAAACACCAGUUCUGAUAUGAUCACCGAAGUUAAGCAACGUUGAGUCUGGCCAGUACCUAAAUGAGUGACCACUUGGGAAUACCAGGUGCUGUUAG